GACAGAGGUGCCGAGCGUUAGGCGGAAUCACUGGGCUUAAAGCGUGUGUAGGCGGAUCUGUAAGUACCUUGUGAAAUCCCACGGCUCAACCGUGGAACUGCUUGGUAUACUGCGGGUCUUGAGCCACCUAGGGGCAAGUGGAACAAACGGUGGAGCGGUGAAAUGCGUAGAUAUCAGGAGGAACACCUGUGGUGUAGACAGCUUUCUGGACCAUUGCUGACGCUGAGACACGAAAGCGUGGGUAGCAAACAGG
rnacentral:rRNA from 1 species